GAACGAACUUAAUCUUUUUGUUUACAAGAAGAAGCGGUUAGUGGCGGACUGGUGAGUAACACGUAAGCAAUCUACCUAUUAGAGGGGAAUAACAGUGAGAAAUCAUUGCUAAUACCGCAUAAACUAUGUCUAUCGCAUGAAAGAAAUAGCAAAGGAGCAAUUCGCUAAUAGAUGAGCUUGCGCCCGAUUAGUUAGUUGGUGGGGUAAAGGCCUACCAAGACGAUGAUCGGUAGCCGAACUGAGAGGUUGAACGGCCACAUUGGGACUGAGAUACGGCCCAGACUCCUACGGGGGGCAGCAGUCGGGAAUAUUGCGCAAUGGAGGGAACUCUGACGCAGUGAUGCCGCGUAUAGGAAGAAGGUUUUCGGAUUGUAAACUAUUGUCGUUAGGGAAGAAAAAAGACAGUACCUAAGGAGGAAGCUCCGGCUAACUACGUGCCAGCAGCCGCGGUAAUACGUAGGGAGCAAGCGUUAUCCGGAUUUAUUGGGUGUAAAGGGUGCGUAGACGGGUUAUUAAGUUAGUUGUGAAAUCCCUCGGCUCAACCGAGGAACUGCAACUAAAACUGGUAGUCUUGAGUGCAGGAGAGGUAAGUGGAAUUCCUAGUGUAGCGGUGAAAUGCGUAGAUAUUAGGAGGAACACCGGUGGCGAAGGCGACUUACUGGACUGCAACUGACGUUGAGGCACGAAAGUGUGGGGAGCAAACAGGAUUAGAUACCCUGGUAGUCCACACUGUAAACGAUGGAUACUAGGUGUAGGCUGUGAUAAACGGUCUGUGCCGACGCAAACGCAAUAAGUAUCCCACCUGGGGAGUACGGCCGCAAGGUUGAAACUCAAAGGAAUUGACGGGGGCCCGCACAAGCAGUGGAGUAUGUGGUUUAAUUCGAAGCAACGCGAAGAACCUUACCAGGGCUUGACAUAUACUUGAAUAUGCAAGAGAUUGCAUAGCUCUUCGGAGCAGGUAUACAGGUGGUGCAUGGUUGUCGUCAGCUCGUGUCGUGAGAUGUUGGGUUAAGUCCCGCAACGAGCGCAACCCCUAUUGUUAGUUGCCAUCAUUAAGUUGGGAACUCUAGCAAGACUGCCGGUGAUAAAUCGGAGGAAGGUGGGGACGACGUCAAAUCAUCAUGCCCUUUAUGUCCUGGGCUACACACGUACUACAAUGGGAGUAACAGAGGGAAGCAAAGCGGCGACGCGGAGCAAAACCCAAAAAGCACCCACAGUUCGGAUUGAAGGCUGAAAUUCGCCUUCAUGAAGCUGGAAUUGCUAGUAAUGGCAGGUCAGCAUACUGCCGUGAAUACGUUCCCGGGC
rnacentral:rRNA from 1 species